AACGAACGCUGGCGGCAUGCCUAACACAUGCAAGUCGAACGAGACCUCCGUAUCUAGUGGCUCACAGGUGCGUAACGCGUGGGAACCGGCACUUAUGCUUCGAAUUACACCUCGAAGGGGGGGCUAACACCGGAAAAUUUCCUCGAACAAAAGAUUUAUCGUCCUUGGAAGGGCCCGCGUUGGAUUAGCCAGGGGGUAGGGGAAAAGCCUACCACGGCGACGCUCCAUAGCUGGUUUGAGAGGCUGAGCAGCCACUCUGCGACUGAGACACGGCCCAGACUCCUACGGGAGGGAGCAGUGGCGAAUAUUGGACAAUGGGCGAAAGCCUGAUCCAGCUAUGCCGCGUGAGUGAUGAAGGCCGUAGGGUUGUAAAGCUCUUUUACCCGGGAUGAUAAUGACAGUACCGGGAGAAUAAGCUCCGGCUAACUCCGUG
rnacentral:rRNA from 1 species